rnacentral:rRNA from 1 species
AGUGAACGCUGGCGGUAGGCCUAACACAUGCAAGUCGAACGGCGGCACAGUAAGAGCUUGCUCUUACGGGUGGCGAGUGGCGGACGGGUGAGGAAUACAUCGGAAUCUACUUUUUCUUGGGGGAUAACGUAGGGAAACUUACGCUAAUACCGCAUACGACCUACGGGUGAAAGCAGGGGAUCUUCGGACCUUGCGCGAUUGAAUGAGCCGAUGUCGGAUUAGCUAGUUGGCGGGGUAAAGGCCCACCAAGGCGACGAUCCGUAGCUGGUCUGAGAGGAUGAUCAGCCACACUGGAACUGAGACACGGUCCAGACUCCUACGGGAGGCAGCAGUGGGGAAUAUUGGACAAUGGGCGCAAGCCUGAUCCAGCCAUGCCGCGUGGGUGAAGAAGGCCUUCGGGUUGUAAAGCCCUUUUGUUGGGGAAGAAAAGCAGCAGGUUAAUACCCCGCUGUUCUGACGGUACCCAAAGAAUAAGCACCGGCUAACUUCGUG